rnacentral:rRNA from 1 species
UACGGGGGGGGCAAGCGUUGUUCGGAAUUACUGGGCGUAAAGGACUCGUAGGCGGCCAACUAAGUCAGACGUGAAAUCCCUCGGCUUAACCGGGGAACUGCAUCUGAUACUGGAUGGCUUGAGAUUGGGAGAGGGAUGCGGAAUUCCAGGUGUAGCGGUGAAAUGCGUAGAUAUCUGGAGGAACACCGGUGGCGAAGGCGGCAUCCUGGACCAACACUGACGCUGAGGAGCGAAAGCGUGGGGAGCGAACAGG